ACACGUAGGGGGCGAGCGUUGUUCGGAAUCAUUGGGCGUAAAGGGCGUGCAGGCGGUCCUGCAAGUCCGGCGUGAAAGACCCCGGCCCAACCGGGGGGACGCGCUGGAAACUGCGGGGCUUGAGUACAGGAGGGGAUGCCGGAAUUCCAGGUGUAGGGGUGAAAUCUGUAGAUAUCUGGAAGAACACCAAUGGCGAAGGCAGGCAUCUGGCCAGGUACUGACGCUGAGACGCGAAGGUGCGGGGAGCAAACAGGUUUAGAUACCCUGGUAGUCCGCACAGUAAACGAUGUGCACCAGGUGGCGGGGGGUCGACCCUCGGUACCGUAGCUAACGCAUUAAGUGCACCGCCUGGGGAGUAUGCUCGCAAGGGUGAAACUCAAAGGAAUUGACGGGG
rnacentral:rRNA from 1 species